AACGUAGGAGACAAACGUUAUCCAGAGUUACUGGGCGUAAAGGGCGUGUAGGUGGUUUCGUAAGUCUGGCGUGAAAUUUUUCGGCUUAACCGGGAAAGGUCGUCGGAUACUGCGGAGCUAGAGGACGGUAGAGGCGUGUGGAAUUCCGGGUGUAGUGGUGAAAUGCGUAGAGAUCCGGAGGAACACCAGUGGCGAAGGCGACACGCUGGGCCGUACCUGACACUGAUGCGCGACAGCGUGGGGAGCAACAGG
rnacentral:rRNA from 1 species